UACGUAGGGUGCGAGCGUUGUCCGGAAUUACUGGGCGUAAAGGGCUUGUAGGUGGUUUGUCGCGUUGUUCGUGAAAUCCCCGGGCUUAACCUGGGAACUGCAUUUGUGACUGCAUGGCUGGAGUUCGGUAGGGGAGACUGGAAUUCCUGGUGUAGCGGUGAAAUGCGUAGAUAUCGAGAGGAACACCUGCGGCGAAGGCGGGUAGCUGGGCCGACACUGACGCUGAUGCGCGAAAGCCAGGGGAGCGAACGGG
rnacentral:rRNA from 1 species